rnacentral:rRNA from 1 species
GGGGAGCUUCCCGUAGGGGUUGAAGCAUGACCGUAAGGACAUGUGGACAGUAUGGGAGUGAGAAUGUUGGCAUGAGUAGCGAAAUGUGUGUGAGAAUCUCACUGGCCGUAAACCCAAGGUUCCCAGGUGAAGGUUCAUCCGCCCUGGGUUAGUCGGUACCUAAGCUGAGGCAGAAAGGCGUAUGUGAUGGACAACAAGUUGAUAUUCCUGUACUACCGAUAACCGUUUGAGAGA